GACCGAAUGGAACACGGAGCGGACCAGUCGUUUUGACAGCUGAGUAGAAAGUUUCUCGCCAGACACUUAAACAUCGCCCUCGACCUUCAACGUAAAGACCGUGGACAAACAUCUCCACCUCCUCACCGCUGCUCUCCCUCCUCUGGCAGGACACACACCACCCAGUGAGACAUUUACCGCUGACGCCGCCUCAUUGAAUGGACACAUGCAGUAUCAAAGCGGAGCCGUCCUUGUCUUCGUGAAGCACGACGUCUUGCUAAUGUUGCUACCGCAGUGCACAUGAAAAACUCCCAGCGACGGACUCAGAAAGAGUGUGUUUUUUCUCUGACCCAGCAGGGGGCAUCAACCUCUGUGGGAGAAGCUGCACUGUUUUCACCCUGAACUCUUCAAGAUCAGACACGCUGUCCCAACCUGCCUCCCCUCUUUUCUC